AGCUCACUAGUCGAGUGACACUGCGCCGAAAAUGUACCGGGGCUAAACAUAUUACCGAAGCUGUGGAUUGUCCUUUGGACAAUGGUAGGAGAGCGUUCUAAGGGCGUUGAAGCAUGAUCGUAAGGACAUGUGGAGCGCUUAGAAGUGAGAAUGCCGGUGUGAGUAGCGAAAGACGGGUGAGAAUCCCGUCCACCGAUUGACUAAGGUUUCCAGAGGAAGGCUCGUCCGCUCUGGGUUAGUCGGGUCCUAAGCUGAGGCCGACAGGCGUAGGCGAUGGAUAACAGGUUGAUAUUCCUGUACCACCUAUAAUCGUUUUAAUCGAUGGGGGGACGCAGUAGGAUAGGCGAAGCGUGCGAUUGGAUUGCACGUCUAAGCAGUAAGGCUGAGUAUUAGGCAAAUCCGGUACUCAUUAAGGCUGAGCUGUGAUGGGGAGAAGACAUUGUGUCUUCGAGUCGUUGAUUUCACACUGCCGAGAAAAGCCUCUAGAUAGAAAAUAGGUGCCCGUACCGCAAACCGACACAGGUAGUCAAGAUGAGAAUUCUAAGGUGAGCGAGCGAACUCUCGUUAAGGAACUCGGCAAAAUGACCCCGUAACUUCGGGAGAAGGGGUGCUCUUUAGGGUUAACGCCCAGAAGAGCCGCAGUGAAUAGGCCCAAGCGACUGUUUAUCAAAAACACAGGUCUCUGCUAAACCGUAAGGUGAUGUAUAGGGGCUGACGCCUGCCCGGUGCUGGAAGGUUAAGAGGAGUGGUUA
rnacentral:rRNA from 1 species